rnacentral:rRNA from 1 species
AAUGAACGCUGGCGGCAGGCCUAACACAUGCAAGUCGAGCGGAUCCUUCGGGAUUAGUGGCGGACGGGUGAGUAACGCGUGGGAACAUACCCUUUGGUACGGAAUAGCCUCGGGAAACUGGGAGUAAUACCGUAUGUGGUCGAGAGACGAAAGAUUUAUCGCCAAAGGAUUGGCCCGCGUUGGAUUAGGUAGUUGGUGGGGUAAGGGCCUACCAAGCCGACGAUCCAUAGCUGGUUUGAGAGGAUGAUCAGCCACACUGGGACUGAGACACGGCCCAGACUCCUACGGGAGGCAGCAGUGGGGAAUCUUAGACAAUGGGGGAAACCCUGAUCUAGCCAUGCCGCGUGAUCGAUGAAGGCCUUAGGGUUGUAAAGAUCUUUCAGGUGGGAAGAUAAUGACUGUACCACCAGAAGAAGCCCCGGCUAACUCCGUGCCAGCCGCCGCAGUAA